rnacentral:rRNA from 11 species
AUCUACAACAUAAAUGUUCUAAAGACACCAGACCCUGUCUGAUCUUGGAAGCUAAGCAGAGUCAGCUCUGGUUACUACUUGGAUGAGAGACUGCCGAUGAGUAUCAGGAGCUGUGGUGU